CAUGCAGUCGAACGGCAGCACAGGAGAGCUUGCUCUCUGGGUGGCGAGUGGCGGANGGNNGNGGAAUACAUCGGAAUCUACUCUGUCGUGGGGGAUAACGUAGGGAAACUUACGCUAAUACCGCAUACGACCUACGGGUGAAAGCAGGGGACCUUCGGGCCUUGCGCGAUUGAAUGAGCCGAUGUCGGAUUAGCUAGUUGGCGGGGUAAAGGCCCACCAAGGCGACNAUCCGUAGCUGGUCUGAGAGGAUGAUCAGCCACACUGGAACUGAGACACGGUCCANACUCCUACGGGAGGCAGCAGUGGGGAAUAUUGGACAAUGGGCGCAAGCCUGAUCCA
rnacentral:rRNA from 1 species